rnacentral:rRNA from 1 species
CCUACGGGAGGCAGCAGUGAGGAAUAUUGGUCAAUGGGCGAGAGCCUGAACCAGCCAAGUCGCGUGAGGGAGUACUGCCCUAUGGGUUGUAAACCUCUUUUGUCGGGGAGCAAAAGCCGGACGUGUCCGGCUGUGAGAGUACACGAAGAAAAAGCAUCGGCUAACUCCGUGCCAGCAGCCGCGGUAAUACGGAGGAUGCGAGCGUUAUCCGGAUUUAUUGGGUUUAAAGGGUGCGCAGGCGGACUUUUAAGUCAGCGGUAAAAUCGUGGGGCUCAACCCCAUCCAGCCGUUGAAACUGGGGAUCUAGAGUGUGCGAGAGGUAUGCGGAAUGCGUGGUGUAGCGGUGAAAUGCAUAGAUAUCACGCAGAACCCCGAUUGCGAAGGCAGCAUACCGGUGCACAACUGACGCUCAGGCACGAAAGCGUGGGUAUCGAACAGGAUUAGAUACCCCAGUAGUC